GACGAAGGAUGCAAGCGUUAUCCGGAUUCAUUGGGUUUAAAGGGUGCGUAGGCGGACUGAUAAGUCAGUGGUGAAAUCUCUUUGCUUAACAAAGAAACUGCCAUUGAUACUGUCGGUCUAGAGUAUAGAUGACGUUGGCGGAAUAUGACAUGUAGUGGUGAAAUACUUAGAUAUGUCAUAGAACACCGAUUGCGAAGGCAGCUAACGAA
rnacentral:rRNA from 1 species